GUGAUUCGGGGUGCAGCAGGCGCGAAAACUUUACAAUGCCGGCAACGGCGAUAAGGGAACCUCGAGUGCCAGGUUACAAAUCUGGCUGUCGUGAUGCCUAAAAAGCAUUGCAUAGCAAGGGCCGGGCAAGACCGGUGCCAGCCGCCGCGGUAACACCGGCGGCUCGAGUGGUAACCGUUAUUAUUGGGUCUAAAGGGUCUGUAGCCGGCCGGGUAAGUCUCUUGGGAAAUCUGGCAGCUUAACUGCCAGGCUUUCAGGAGAUACUGCCUGGCUCGAGGCCGGGAGAGGUGAGAGGUACUUCAGGGGUAGGGGUGAAAUCUUGUAAUCCUUGAAGGACCACCAGUGGCGAAGGCGUCUCACCAGAACGGACCUGACGGCAAGGGACGAAAGCUAGGGGCACGAACCGGAUUAGAUACCCGGGUAGUCCUAGCCGUAAACGAUACUCGCUAGGUGUCGGCCACGGUGCGACCGUGGUCGGUGCCGUAGGGAAGCCGUGAAGCGAGCCACCUGGGAAGUACGGCCGCAAGGCUGAAACUUAAAGGAAUUGGCGGGGGAGCACAAUCGAAU
rnacentral:rRNA from 1 species